rnacentral:rRNA from 1 species
CCCGAUAGGACUAUCCACCUGAAAUGGUUUGUGUUCCAAAUGAUUUAUCGCCGUAGGAUGGGACUGCGGCCUAUCAGUUUGUUGGUGAGGUAAUGGCCCACCAAGACUAUUACAGGUACGGGCUCUGAGAGGAGUAGCCCGGAGAUGGGUACUGAGACACGGACCCAGGCCCUAUGGGGCGCAGCAGGCGAGAAAACUUUGCAAUGUGCGAAAGCACGACAAGGUUAAUCCGAGUGAUUUCUGCUAAAGAAAUCUUUUGUUAGUCCUAGAAACACUAACGAAUAAGGGGUGGGCAAGUUCUGGUGUCAGCCGCCGCGGUAAAACCAGCACCUCAAGUGGUCAGGAUGGUUAUUGGGCCUAAAGCAUCCGUAGCCUGCUCUGUAAGUUUUCGGUUAAAUCUGUACGCUCAACGUACAGGCUGCCGGGAAUACUGCAGAGCUAGGGAGUGGGAGAGGUAGACGGUACUCGGGAGGAAGUGGUAAAAUGCUUUGAUCUCUCGAUGACCACCUGUGGCGAAGGCGGUCUACCAGAACACGUCCGACGGUGAGGGAUGAAAGCUGGGGGAGCAAACCGGAUUAGAUACCCGGGUAGUCCCAGCUGUAAACUAUGCAAACUCAGUGAUGCAUUGGCUUGUGGCCAAUGCAGUAUUGCAGGGAAGCCGUUAAGUUUGCCGCCUGGGAAGUACGUACGCAAGUAUGAAACUUAAAGGAAUUGGCGGGGGAGCACCACAAGGGGUGAAGCCUGCGGUUCAAUUGGAGUCAACGCCGGAAAUCUUACCCGGAGAGACAGCAGAAUGAAGGUCAAGCUGAAGACUUUACCAGACAAGCUGAGAGGUGGUGCAUGGCCGUCGCCAGCUCGUGCCGUGAGAUGUCCUGUUAAGUCAGGUAACGAGCGAGAUCC